AUAAAAUUUAAAAAUAGACUUAUUUAAAGGCAAAAGUAAGAUUUCCUCCAUAUUUUUGUUGCCUUCUCAGCAAUGUUGAAGCUCAAAGUCAAAAGAAAUACGUUAUAAGUAGAAUUUAAGUAACUUUCAUUUGUGGUUGUUUACUUAUCAGGAUUCAUCUAGGCAUUUCAACUAUGCCAAAUGUCAUUUCAGACUAAAACAUUUGAGCGACCUGCAUCAUCAAUUUGCACCCAUCAAUAUUAGAUGAUCAUUAGUAGUAGGGAAAGAAGUGAGAAUAAGAGAAAGGAGAUGAUAACGAGAAAAGUGUUAUUAAAAUAUUUAUAAAUUUUAAAUAUUGUUGCGAAUUUUGUGUUUAACAGAACUGUAAAAAGAUUCAUAUAGCUAAUUUCAACUGGCUAAUUCACUUGGUUGUUAUUGUCG
rnacentral:misc_RNA from 1 species